GAUGAACGCUGGCGGCGUGCCUAAUACAUGCAAGUCGAGCGAACAGACGAGGAGCUUGCUCCUCUGACGUUAGCGGCGGACGGGUGAGUAACACGUGGAUAACCUACCUAUAAGACUGGGAUAACUUCGGGAAACCGGAGCUAAUACCAGAUAAUAUAUUGAACCGCAUGGUUCAAUAGUGAAAGACGGUUUUGCUGUCACUUAUAGAUGGAUCCGCGCCGCAUUAGCUAGUUGGUAAGGUAACGGCUUACCAAGGCAACGAUGCGUAGCCGACCUGAGAGGGUGAUCGGCCACACUGGAACUGAGACACGGUCCAGACUCCUACGGGAGGCAGCAGUAGGGAAUCUUCGGCAAUGGGCGAAAGCCUGACGGAGCAACGCCGCGUGAGUGAUGAAGGUCUUCGGAUCGUAAAACUCUGUUAUUAGGGAAGAACAAAUGUGUAAGUAACUAUGGACGUCUUGACGGUACCUAAUCAGAAAGCCACGGCUAACUACGUG
rnacentral:rRNA from 1 species